UACGUAGGGGGCAAGCGUUGUCCGGAAUCAUUGGGCGUAAAGCGCGUGUAGGCGGUUCGGUAAGUCUGUCGUGAAAUCCUGAGGCUCAACCUCGGACGUGCGAUGGAUACUGCCGGGCUAGAGGAUGGUAGAGGCGAGUGGAAUUCCCGGUGUAGCGGUGAAAUGCGCAGAUAUCGGGAGGAACACCAGUAGCGAAGGCGGCUCGCUGGGCCAUUCCUGACGCUGAGACGCGAAAGCUAGGGGAGCGAACAGG
rnacentral:rRNA from 1 species